rnacentral:misc_RNA from 1 species
UCCGUGUUAACCACGGCAGUCUCUCUAGAGUGCCCAACUGAAUGCUGGCAACUAAAGAUAAGGGUUGCGCUCGUUGCGGGACUUAACCCAACAUGUCACCACACGAGCUGACGACAGCCAUGCAGCACCUGUCUUCCUGUCGUAUUGCUACGAACUCCGUAUCUCUACGGUCAUCAGGAGAUGUCAAAUCCAGGUAAGGUUCUUCGCGUUGCUUCGAAUUAAACCACAUGAUCCACUGCUUGUGCGGGCCCCCGUCAAUUCCUUUGAGUUUUAAUCUUGCGACCGUACUUCCCAGGCGGGGUACUUAGUGCGUUAGCUCCGGUUCAGCGGGGGUCAAGACCCACCAAACCUAGUACCCAUCGUUUACAGCGUGGACUAC